CGGACGGGUGAGUAAUGUCUGGGAAACUGCCUGAUGGAGGGGGAUAACUACUGGAAACGGUAGCUAAUACCGCAUAACGUCGCAAGACCAAAGAGGGGGACCUUCGGGCCUCUUGCCAUCGGAUGUGCCCAGAUGGGAUUAGCUAGUAGGUGGGGUAACGGCUCACCUAGGCGACGAUCCCUAGCUGGUCUGAGAGGAUGACCAGCCACACUAGAACUGAGACACGGUCCAG
rnacentral:rRNA from 1 species